UACGGGGGGGGGCAAGCGUUGUUCGGAAUUACUGGGCGUAAAGGGCUCGUAGGCGGCCAACUAAGUCAGACGUGAAAUCCCUCGGCUUAACUGCGGGCUUGCGGUUGAUACGGGCAGACUGGGAGUGCGGUAGGGGAGAAUGGAAUUCCUGGUGUAGCGGUGGAAUGCGCAGAUAUCAGGAGGAACACCGAUGGCGAAGGCAGUUCUCUGGGCCGUAACUGACGCUGAGGCACGAAAGCGUGGGGAUCAAACAGG
rnacentral:rRNA from 1 species